UGAGUUUUUCCAAUCAACUGCUGGUAUUGUUUCUCUGAACAUAAUUGCUGCUUGUUUUAUUUAUUGUUUGUCUCUUGUGGCUAAUCCAACUUAUUUAGAAUUAUUACUUCAAAAUAUAUAUGUUUUAGAUUUUCUAUGCAACCUUUAUGGCUAUUGAGAUAAGCUUUUAAUUUCAACAUGUUAACUGGCAGAUCAUUUGAAAUAAAUGACAAAAACUCAUUAAUAUUUGACAAAAUACACUUGUAUCCUCAUUUUUACGAAGUGAAUUAUAUGGUUCUUCACUUUUCAAAUUCAUUUAAGUGUAUGAUAGUUUACUACUAGGAUUAAAUAUAAAAUAUUUGAAAGAAUCAGGAACAUUUGAUUUAAUUUAAGAAAGUAAGGGCGGCCCAAGUGUAUUUUGUAUCAAAUAUCAGGUUUUUGUAAUAUAAUUGUGGAUUGUUGUGACAUCACUUGUGCUUUGUAAAUGUUGGGGAUUUGGUUAGAAGCUUCUCUUUUGGGGGCCAUGGUUGAGAACUUUUUCAGAAAGGGAUUAUACAUUUAUGCUUGUCUCAUAGGCAUUAUGCUACUCAAUUUUGUUAAUUGACAUGAUAUCUUGUAGUCCACCCAACAAAAACAACAACAAUUAAGCUUUAUUCCCAAACUAGUUGGGGUCAACUA
rnacentral:misc_RNA from 1 species